UUAAAAAUUUAUUUUUUUUUGUUUUUGAUUUUUAAUUAAAUUAUUUUUUAUUUUUAUUAUUUAAAAAGAAAAAAUUUUUUUAAUAAUAGUUUACUAGUAAAGUGAUUGAAUAUUUAAAUAUUUUGAAAAUUUAAGUGAUUAAAAGAAGAAUUAAUUUUUCGUACCUUGUGUAUCAGGGUUUAUAAAAUAUAGGUUGUUUAUUUAAUUUUCCCGAAUUAAGAAGAGCUAAUUAUGUAUAUAUUUUAUUGUUAAAUAAAUAUUUAUAAUACUUAAUUUGUAAUGAAACGUUAUUCGUUUCUUAAUAUAUCUGGUUUUUUAAGAAAAGAAUUUAAUUCUUUUAUUUUGUUUUAUUUAAUUUUUUGCUUAAUUAAAUAAUUUCUUAAUAUUAAAUUUUUAAUGGGAUUAGCUUUUAAAAAUAUUUUUAAAAAAAUAGUUUUAUUUAAAUAAAUUUGUAGAAUUAGAAUUAUUUUUCUAUUAAAGGAUGUUAUAAUUUAUUUAUUUUAGAAUAAAAUUUUUAUUUUUUUAAAUUUUUUAUUAAAAUUUUGAUUUUAAUUUAUUUUGUUAAUUAAUAAUGAUGGAAUUAGUAUAUUUUAUGUAUUUAUAAAUUUUUUUGUUAGGUUAAUUAAAGGAAUUCGGCAAGUUUAAUUUUUCGCCUGUUUAUUAAAAACAUGGUCUUUUUGAUUAUAAUAUAAGAUUUAACCUGCCCACUGAAUAAUUGAAUGGCCGCGGUAUUUUGACCGUGCAAAGGUAGCAUAAUAAUUAGUUUUUUGAUUGAAAGCUGGAAUGAAUGGUUGGACGAGAAAAUUACUGUCUCUAAUUAAAUUUAAAUAAAACUUUAUUUUUAAGUUAAAAAGCUUAAAUGUUAAUGAAAGACGAGAAGACCCUAUAGAGUUUUAUAAUUGUUUGAAAAUAUAAUUUUAAGUAUUUAGAUUUUGUUUUCUAAAAAUUAUUUUAUUGGGGUGAUAAAAAGAUUUAAUAAACUCUUUUUUUAUUUAUACAUUUAUAUAUGAUUAUUUGAUCCAUUUUUUGUGAUUAUAAGAAUAAAUUACCUUAGGGAUAACAGCGUAAUCUUUUUAGAGAGUUCUUAUCGAAAUAAGGGAUUGCGACCUCGAUGUUGGAUUAAAGUUAAUUCUUGGUGUAGAAGCUUGGAAAUUGAGUCUGUUCGACUUUUAAAACUUUACAUGAUCUGAGUUUAAACCGGUGUGAGCCAGGUUGGUUUCUAUCUUUAUUUAGUUAAAAUGUCUUAGUACGAAAGGACCAGAUAUUUGAUAUAUUUAUUUUUGUAUUGAAUUUUAUU
rnacentral:rRNA from 1 species